rnacentral:rRNA from 1 species
GGGGAAUAUUGCACAAUGGGCGAAAGCCUGAUGCAGCGACGCCGCGUGCAGGAUGACGGCCUUAGGGUUGUAAACUGCUUUCGACAGGGACGAAAAUGACGGUACCUGUAGAAGAAGCUCCGGCCAAAUACGUGCCAGCAGCCGCGGUAAUACGUAUGGAGCGAGCGUUGUCCGGAUUUAUUGGGCGUAAAGAGCUCGUAGGUGGUUUGGUAAGUCAGGUGUGAAAACUCCGAGCUCAACUCGGAGACGCCACCUGAUACUGCCAUGACUAGAGUCCGGUAGGGGAGCGUGGAAUUCCUAGUGUAGCGGUGAAAUGCGCAGAUAUUAGGAGGAACACCUAUGGCGAAGGCAGCGCUCUGGGCCGGUACUGACACUGAGGAGCGAAAGCGUGGGUAGCAAAC